rnacentral:rRNA from 1 species
CACGUAGGGUGCGAGCGUUGUCCGGAAUUAUUGGGCGUAAAGAGCUCGUAGGCGGUUUGUUGCGUCGGCUGUGAAAUCCCGAGGCUCAACCUCGGGUCUGCAGUCGAUACGAGCAAACUAGAGUGUUGCAGGGGAGACUGGAAUUCCUGGUGUAGCGGUGAAAUGCGCAGAUAUCAGGAGGAACACCGGUGGCGAAGGCGGCUCACUGGCUCAUUACUGACGCUCAGGCGCGAUAGCGUGGGGAUCAAACAGG